rnacentral:rRNA from 1 species
UACGUAGGUGGCAAGCGUUGUCCGGAUUUACUGGGCGUAAAGAGCGCGCAGGCGGUCGUUCAAGUCGCGUGUGAAAGCCCCCGGCUCAACUGGGGAGGGUCACGCGAUACUGAUCGACUGGAAGGCAGGAGAGGGUGAGUGGAAUUCCCGGUGUAGUGGUGAAAUGCGUAGAUAUCGGGAGGAACACCAGUGGCGAAGGCGACUACCUGGCCUGUUCUUGACGCUGAGGCGCGAAAGCUAGGGGAGCAAACGGG